rnacentral:rRNA from 1 species
UACAGAGGAUGCAAGCGUUAUCCGGAAUGAUUGGGCGUAAAGCGUCUGUAGGUGGCUUUUUAAGUCCGCCGUCAAAUCCCAGGGCUCAACUCUGGACAGGCGGUGGAAACUACCAAGCUGGAGUACGGUAGGGGCAGAGGGAAUUUCCGGUGGAGCGGUGAAAUGCGUAGAGAUCGGAAGGAACACCGGUGGCGAAAGCGGCGCGCUGGACCUCUUCUGACGCUGAGGCGCGAAAGCCAGGGGAGCAAACAGG